AAACCUUCAGAAUUUGGAAAGUCGUUUCAAAUUGGUAUCUGAACUUCAAAAAUCCAUAUCCAAAUUCACAAAAACCUUACACUUAAACCCUUAUGUUAGCAACUUUUAAGAAUUAUGUUAAAUACUAAUGUUAAUACCACACUUUAGUUUUUUUGUGCACUGAAUAUGAUGAGAAAAUCAGGACAUAUAUUUGGUAGGAAAUUAAUGCUGAGAUUGUUGAUUUUGGGGUUCAA
rnacentral:lncRNA from 1 species